rnacentral:rRNA from 1 species
GAAAGCGGGGGAUCUUCGGACCUCGCGCUAUUGGAUGAGCCUAAGUCGGAUUAGCUUGUAGGUAGGGUAACGGCCUACCUAGGCAACGAUCCGUAGCUGGUCUGAGAGGACGAUCAGCCACACUGGAACUGAGACACGGUCCAGACUCCUACGGGAGGCAGCAGUGGGGAAUAUUGGACAAUGGGCGCAAGCCUGAUCCAGCAAUGCCGCGUGUGUGAAGAAGGCCUGCGGGUUGUAAAGCACUUUCAGUGGGGAAGAAAAGCCUACGGUUAAUACCCGUGAGUCUUGACGUAACCCACAGAAGAAGCACCGGCUAACUCCGUGCCAGCAGCCGCGGUAAUACGGAGGGUGCGAGCGUUAAUCGGAAUUACUGGGCGUAAAGCGCGCGUAGGCGGUUUGGUCAGUCGAAUGUGAAAGCCCAGGGCUUAACCUUGGAACUGCGUUCGAUACUGCCUGACUAGAGUAUGGUAGAGGGAAGUGGAAUUUCCGGUGUAGCGGUGAAAUGCGUAGAUAUCGGANANGGAACACCAGUGGCGAAGGCGACUUCCUGGGCCAAUACUGACGCUGAGGUGCGAAAGCGUGGGGAGCAAACAGGAUUAGAUACCCUGGUAGUCCACGCCGUAAACGAUGAGAACUAGAUGUCGGGGGGGUUGCCCUUCGGUGUCGCAGCUAACGCGUUAAGUUCUCCGCCUGGGGAGUACGCCGGCAACNGGUAAAACUCAAAGGAAUUGACGGGGACCCGCACAAGCGGUGGAGCACGUGGUUUAAUUCGAUGCAACGCGAAGAACCUUACCUGCCCUUGACAUCCUCAGAACUUGUUAGAGAUAACUUGGUGCCUUC